rfam:Claviceps purpurea 20.1, WGS project CAGA01000000 data, contig: scaffold00085
GGCACUUUGGCCGAGUGGUCUAAGGCGCCGUGUUCAGGCUUCGGAUCUGUUCCUUGGAAUGGGUCCUCCUCUUCGCGGUCUAGUAAUAGGCGAGGGUUCGAAUCCCUCAGGUGUCA